rnacentral:rRNA from 1 species
UACGUAGGGUGCGAGCGUUAAUCGGAAUUACUGGGCGUAAAGCGUGCGCAGGCGGCGCGUUAAGACAGGUGUGAAAGCCCCGAGCUUAACUUGGGAAUUGCGCUUGUGACUGGCGUGCUGGAGUGUGGCAGAGGGAGGUGGAAUUCCACGUGUAGCAGUGAAAUGCGUAGAGAUGUGGAGGAACACCGAUGGCGAAGGCAGCCUCCUGGGCCAGCACUGACGCUCAUGCACGAAGGCGUGGGGAGCAAACAGG